AGGGAGUCACUGUGUGUCUAUACAGAUAUAACACGUGCAGCUGCUGAGCCCAGAGAAGUGAUAGAACAGGCAUAGAGAGCCCUUGUCCCAGGAGCUUACAGCCGAGUCAGGAGCUAGAACUGCAUCAGCAUCCACCAAAGCCGCAGUGCCAUGGCAGCCCUGAAGUACGCAGGCCUGGAUGAUACUGACAGUGAGGAUGAGCUGCCGCCCGGAUGGGAGGAGAGGAGCACCAAGGAUGGAUGGGUCUACUAUGCCAACCACUUAGAUGAGAAGACCCAAUGGGAGCACCCAAAAACUGGAAAGCGAAAGAGGAUUGCAGGAGAUCUUCCAUAUGGCUGGGAACAAGAAACUGAUGAAAACGGCCAGAUGUAUUUUGUUGAUCACUUGAAUAAGAGGACCACUUACCUAGACCCCAGACUUGCCUUCACUGUUGAAGAUCAACCAACAAAGAUAAAUACAAGACAGAAGUUUGAUGGGAACACCACCGCAAUGGAUAUUCUACAGGGUUGUGAUCUGUCUGGCAAGGUGGUUAUUGUCACGGGAGCAAACACUGGAAUAGGAUUUGAGACAGUACGUUCCUUGGCUCUUCAUGGUGCGCUCGUAAUCCUGGCAUGCAGGAACCUCCAAAAGGCGAAUGAAGCCAAACGGCAGAUAGUAGAUGAAUGGCACAAAGCUAAGAUAGAAGUCAUGUGCCUGGAUCUUGCCUCCCUCCGCAGUGUGCAAAGCUUUGCUGAAGCCUUUAGGAGCAAAAAUCUGCCUCUUCAUGUCCUCAUUUGCAAUGCUGCAGUCCUUGGGGUUCCCUGGCAGCUGACAGAAGAUCACCUUGAAAUGACUUUCCAGGUCAAUCACCUUGGCCAUUUCUACCUGGUCUCACUCCUGCAAGAUAUAUUACGGCAAUCUGUCCCAUCAAGAGUGGUUGUGGUUUCUUCAGAGUCUCACAGAUUCACAGAUAUAAAAGAUUCAUCGGGGAAACUUGACCUCAACCUGCUUUCCCCAUCUAAGAAGGACUACUGGGCUAUGUUAGCAUACAACCGUUCCAAGCUCUGCAAUGUUCUCUUCUCCAAGGAAUUGAACCACCGUCUGUCUCCUCAUGGGGUGACGUCCAAUGCGGUGCAUCCAGGAAACAUGAUGUAUUCGUCCAUUCAUAGGAACUGGUGGGGGUACAGGUUGCUGUUUGGUUUGGUUCGACCCUUUACGAAGUCCAUGGUGUGAAGAAGUUCUCAAACCCUUGAUUUUAGAUAGGAGUUUCCAAGUAUAUGAUUAUUUUAUAAGCAACAAGGAGCUGCCACAUCUGUCUACUGUGCGGUCUCCCCCGACCUGGAAGGCCUUGGAGGGAUGUACUUCAACAACUGCUGCCGCUGCUUGCCUUCACAGGAGGCCCAGAGAGAGGAGACGGCAGAGGCCUUGUGGGAGCUGAGCGAGAGGCUUAUCCAAGAACGAGUUGGCAGCCAGUCCAAAUAGCAGGGAGCCACCGUUAGGAUCAAAACACAGAGUGUGUGCGUGUUAGGAACCUGCCAGCUUUGGAAGCUUUCCAACCCUAUCAUCAAGAGGGUUUCUAUAUACCUCUGAUACAGAUUAACUAGUGUUAAAUGGAAUAAUAGCAGUCACAACAUAGUGAAAAAUGUUAAGUACUAGUGGGAAAUGGGGAAUUCUGCAGGGUUAAGAGGGACAAUAUCUAUUUCUUGUUGCUUAGUUAAGCUUAUUUCUUUGUCUUAUUUUGAUUUCUUACUAAUUUUAAGGAAAACAUCCUUUGGUGAAUGAAAAUGAAUGACAGCAGCUCCACUUUGUAGGAUUAUUCUGUCUAUGAUACAUGAUAAUGCUUGCUAUACAAUUUGAUCAUCUGAUAUAAGCUUUAUUUUUGUUGCAGUUGGUAGGUAAAUAGCCUUAAAGCGUAUUCCAGCCUUUAAAAUAAAUAAUAUGCUGCAGGGGACGGGAAUAGAAAAAAAAAAACAUACUUACCCAGUCCUAGUCCCUUGAAAUACUCUAAAGGACUUUAGGUGCAGUAUCUUGCACAGAUUUAAUGCACAGAUUUUGAACCUGCAGAUUUGAUGCUGGGGUCAGUCAAUUACCGUAUUUUUCGUCCUAUAGGACGCACCGGCGUAUAAGACGCACCCAAUUUAUAGGAUCAAAAUCUAAAAAAAUAAAGAUUCUGAACCCAAUAGUGGUCUUCAACCUGCGGACCUCCAGACGUUGCAAAACUACAACUCCCAGCAUGCCUGGACAGCCGUUGGCUGUCCGGGCAUGCUGGGAGUUGUAGUUUUGCAACAUCUGAAGGUCCGCAGGUUGAAGAUCACUGGAUAGGAGCUAAUACUCACGUGUCCCCGCUGCUCCGGACCCGUCACCGCUACCCUGGAAGUCGCUCCAUCGCUGUCGCCGUGUCCCCGUUGCUCCGGAACGUCUCUGCUGCCGGCAUAAUAUUAGUAUAAUGGUAAAUGUUAGGAUAAUAUACUGUCCCGUAAAAACUGCUAUAUUUAACAUGUGCUCCGCUUAUAUACUGGAGACUGCUGAUUCAAGUUUUAUUGUCUGUACUUUCUUAUUCUGUUUGAUUCCAUUAAUAAAUACAAGAUCCUG